CAAAUACCCAAGUUGAAAUAUAUACACAUUGAAAUUCAAAACGUAGAAUCUAAAAAAAUCUCCCUCAUUCUGAAAUCAUCUAUAAUUCAAAAUUAUCAGACAUAGACUUUAACUUUUCUCACACAUGCGAUUUGGGUUUUGAAGAGAACCAAAUAUUUGAUUUAGGGUUUUCAUAUUCUAACACCAUUUUUCUCACACGCGAUUUGGGUUUUGUACACAGGAGGAAUAGGAUAAGCAAGAUUUAAUAUAGGGUUUUCAUCUUUUACUAUUGCACUCUUGCACACGAUUCCGUGAAGAAAGAGGCAAAGGUAGAUGUCGAAUUGACUAUUGAGGAGAGGAAUUUGCUCGGUACAAGAAUAUGAUUGGAGCUCGGAGGGCUCCGAGGCUUAUUUUUUCUUCGAUAGAGCAAAAGGAGGAUGCGGGAGGUAAUGAAUUGAUAAAAGGUUGAAUUGGAGUUAUCCAGCCUACUGAUGAAUCGACGGUGUUCUUCUACAAGAUGAAGGGGAGGAUUAUUAUUAUUGGUAUUGGCUAAAUUUAAGUCUGGGGAGGUGAGGAGAGGAAAGAGGCAGCUGAUCAUUCACUCAAAGCAUAUCAGAUCAUGGAAAGAAGGUCGUUGAAGACAUCCCUCCGCAAGCUUAGAUGGAUUUGAACUAUCACUUAUGGCUUUUCUUUUGUAUCACUGUAUAUGUUGUAUUUAUGUGAAGUUUUUUUAUAUUUUGAUCAUGUAAUAGCAGUAGUACUCGUCUUAAAGGCAUGUAAUCUAAUGACUCUAGGUUGGGAUGAAAGUAUUAAAGGGAUGAAUUAUGUUUAUCUUGAA